rnacentral:rRNA from 1 species
AGCUAUAGGCUUAGGUACCUAUGGUAGUUUCUGCCCAAAUGAUGAAAUUAAAUGGCUGCCUUAGCGUGAGGGUGCAAAGGUAGCGUAAUAAUUUGUCGCUUAAUUAGUGUACCUGUAUCAACGAAGGCUUUGAGUAAUAUUUUUUUAUUUUUAAGAAGGAAAUUAGAGUGAAAGUUAAAAUCCUUUUAGAGUUUAUAAAGACGAAAAGACCCUAUAGAGUUUUAUUUUUAAAAACCUAAGCAGGUAGAAGAUUGUGAGGAUGAAUAUAAAAGAUUUAGAUGGGGCAUCUCCAGAACUUAGUUUCUGGCAGCGGGGGUUCUAUAUGUUUUCUUUUUUAGAACAAGUUGUAAAUUAUAAUAAAUUACCUUAGGGAUAACAGGUUAAUAGUUUUUUAGAGAUCAAAUUGACAAAACUGUUUAAUACCUCGAUGUUGGCUUAGGAAAAGAUUUUUAUUGCAGGAGUAAAAAAGUCUCGGUGUGUUCACCCGUUAAAUUUCUACA